CAGUAGCCGCGGUAAUACGGAGGGAGCUAGCGUUGUUCGGAAUUACUGGGCGUAAAGCGCACGUAGGCGGUUAUUCAAGUCAGAGGUGAAAGCCCGGGGCUCAACCCCGGAACUGCCUUUGAAACUAGAUGACUGGAAUCUUGGAGAGGUCAGUGGAAUUCCGAGUGUAGAGGUGAAAUUCGUAGAUAUUCGGAAGAACACCAGUGGCGAAGGCGACUGACUGGACAAGUAUUGACGCUGAGGUGCGAAAGCGUGGGGAGCAAACAGGAUUAGAUACCCCAGUAGUCCCUGUCUCUUAUAC
rnacentral:rRNA from 1 species